rnacentral:rRNA from 1 species
GACGAACGCUGGCGGCGUGCCUAAUACAUGCAAGUAGAACUCACAGUUUAUACCGUAGCUUGCUACACCAUAGACUGUGAGUUGCGAACGGGUGAGUAACGCGUAGGUAACCUGCCUGGUAGCGGGUGAUAACUAUUGGAAACGAUAGCUAAUACCGCAUAAUAUUAAUUAUUACAUGAUAAUUCAUUGAAAGGUGCAAUUUCACCACUACCAGAUGGACCUGCGUUGUAUUAGCUAGUAGGUAAGGUAACAGCUCACCUAGGCGACGAUGCAUAGCAGACCUAAGAGAGUGAACGGACACACUGAGAUUGAGACACGGAGCAGAAGGCUACGAGAAGGAGCAGGAAGGAAUCUUCGGGAAGGGACGAAAGACUGAACGAGCAAAGCAGCGUGAGGGAAAAAGGGUUUAGGGACAUAAAGAUCUGUAAUAAGAGAAGAACGAGUGUGAGAAUGGAAAGUGCACAGUGUGACGGUAUCUUACCAGAAAGGGACGGCUAACUACGUG